rnacentral:rRNA from 1 species
GAUGAACGCUGGCGGCGUGCUUAACACAUGCAAGUCGAACGGAAAGGCCGAAGCUUGCUUCGGUACUCGAGUGGCGAACGGGUGAGUAACACGUGGGUGAUCUGCCCUGUACUUCGGGAUAAGCUUGGGAAACUGGGUCUAAUACCGGAUAUGACAAUCUCUUGGGUGGGGUUGUGGAAAGCUUUUGCGGUAUGGGAUGAGCUCGCGGCCUAUCAGCUUGUUGGUGGGGUAAUGGCCUACCAAGGCGUCGACGGGUAGCCGGCCUGAGAGGGUGUACGGCCACAUUGGGACUGAGAUACGGCCCAGACUCCUACGGGAGGCAGCAGUGGGGAAUAUUGCACAAUGGGCGCAAGCCUGAUGCAGCGACGCCGCGUGGGGGAUGACGGCCUUCGGGUUGUAAACUCCUUUCGCAACCGACGAAGCUUUUGUGACGGUAGGUUGAGAAGAAGCACCGGCUAACUACGUG